rnacentral:rRNA from 1 species
UAAACAACCUGCCUUCAGGAUGGGGACAACAGACGGAAACGACUGCUAAUACCGAAUAAGUUCCAAGAGCCGCAUGGCCCAUGGAAGAAAAGGUGGCCUCUACCUGUAAGCUAUCGCCUGAAGAGGGGUUUGCGUCUGAUUAGCUGGUUGGAGGGGUAACGGCCCACCAAGGCGACGAUCAGUAGCCGGUCUGAGAGGAUGAAUGGCCACACUGGAACUGAGACACGGUCCAGACUCCUACGGGAGGCAGCAUG